CACUCAGUGUCCCGCUCCGUCCCUUCCUCUAUCUCUGUAACCAAUCUGUAACCAUAUUUGACCGCAGCUCUUGCAGCCAACAACACCACAAACUUCAGCUCUUCUCCGUCUAAAUGCCAGACUCUCACGAUGGUAUGCCAGCACCAUGCCAGGUUAUCAAAGAGGACUUUGACCAGUGUGUCAGAGAGAAGGGAGAGGAGGCCUGUAAAGAUCUAAUAGAUGCCUUCCAGGCCUGUAUAAAAACCCUGUCUGAGGGAUCAUGACACAUCUUAUUCAAAUCUUCACUUUAUCAAAGUCCUCCUCUUUCCCAGCAUUCCCUUCCUUGCUUUAUUGCACUGGACCACACCAUCUGAAAAACUGAAGAGGGGGAGUGAUGAUACUAAGAUUCUGAUACAGUGUACUUCUGUCAAUGUGAACCUUUUUUUCAUAAAUGGCAUAACUCCAUCACUGGACUCUUCUAUAACACUGCUUACCUGUGCAUUGUAACAUCUUUGUGCACAAUAAUUCAAUAAAUAUAAAGAUU